UACGUAGGGGGCAAGCGUUGUCCGGAGUUACUGGGCGUAAAGCGCACGCAGGCGGUCUCUUAAGUUUGGAGUGACAGUUGGUGGCUUAACUGCCAAAGUGCUUCGAAAACUGAGAGACUUGAGGGCUUCAGAGGGACACGGAAUUCCGGGUGGAGUGGUGAAAUGCGUAGAGAUCCGGAGGAACACCAAAGGCGAAGGCAGUGUCCUGGGGAGUACCUGACGCUCAGGUGCGAAAGCCAGGGGAGCAAACAGG
rnacentral:rRNA from 1 species